UACAGAGGGUGCGAGCGUUAAUCGGAAUUACUGGGCGUAAAGGGCGCGUAGGUGGUUAUAUAAGUGAGAUGUGAAAUCCCCGGGCUUAACCUGGGAACUGCAUUUUAUACUGUAUGGCUAGAGUACAUGAGAGGGUAGUGGAAUUUCCGGUGUAGCGGUGAAAUGCGUAGAUAUCGGAAGGAACACCAGUGGCGAAGGCGGCUACCUGGCAUGAUACUGACACUGAGGCGCGAAAGCGUGGGGAGCGAACAGG
rnacentral:rRNA from 1 species